GACGAACGCUGGCGGCGUGCUUAACACAUGCAAGUCGAACGAGAGCGUAGAGACAGCUUGCUUUUUCUACAAUCUAGUGGCAAACGGGUGAGUAACGCGUAAACAACCUGCCCUACGGAUGGGGACAACAGCUGGAAACGGCUGCUAAUACCGAAUACGUUCCGAAAGUCGCAUGACUAUCGGAAGAAAGGAUGGCCUCUAUUUAUAAGCUAUCGCCGGAGGAGGGGUUUGCGUCUGAUUAGCUAGUUGGAGGGGUAACGGCCCACCAAGGCGACGAUCAGUAGCCGGUCUGAGAGGAUGAACGGCCACAUUGGAACUGAGACACGGUCCAGACUCCUACGGGAGGCAGCAGUGGGGAAUCUUCCGCAAUGGGCGAAAGCCUGACGGAGCAACGCCGCGUGAGUGAAGACGGCCUUCGGGUUGUAAAGCUCUGUUAUACGGGACGAAUAAUCUUGUGGUUAAUACCCAUGAGAAGUGACGGUACCGUAAGAGAAAGCCAUGGCUAACUACGUG
rnacentral:rRNA from 1 species